rnacentral:rRNA from 1 species
CCUACGGGAGGCAGCAGUCGAGAAUCAUUCACAAUGGGGGAAACCCUGAUGGUGCGACGCCGCGUGGGGGAAUGAAGGUCUUCGGAUUGUAAACCCCUGUCAUGUGGGAGCAAAUUAAAAAGAUAGUACCACAAGAGGAAGAGACGGCUAACUCUGUGCCAGCAGCCGCGGUAAUACAGAGGUCUCAAGCGUUGUUCGGAAUCACUGGGCGUAAAGCGUGCGUAGGCUGUUUCGUAAGUCGUGUGUGAAAGGCGCGGGCUCAACCCGCGGAGGGCAGAUGAUACUGCGAGACUAGAGUAGUGGAGGGGGAAGCGGAAUGCGCGGUGUAGCAGUGAAAUGCGUAGAUAUCGCGAGGAACACUGGUGGCGAAGGCGGGUUCCUGGACAUUAACUGACGCUGAGGCACGAAGGCCAGGGGAGCGAAAGGGAUUAGAUACCCUUGUAGUC